UGGGGAAUUUUGGACAAUGGGCGCAAGCCUGAUCCAGCCAUGCCGCGUGCGGGAAGAAGGCCUUCGGGUUGUAAACCGCUUUUGUCAGGGAAGAAAUCUUCUGAGUUAAUACCUCGGGAGGAUGACGGUACCUGAAGAAUAAGCACCGGCUAACUACGUGCCAGCAGCCGCGGUAAUACGUAGGGUGCAAGCGUUAAUCGGAAUUACUGGGCGUAAAGCGUGCGCAGGCGGUUUUGUAAGACAGAGGUGAAAUCCCCGGGCUCAACCUGGGAACUGCCUUUGUGACUGCAAGGCUUGAGUGCGGCAGAGGGGGAUGGAAUUCCGCGUGUAGCAGUGAAAUGCGUAGAUAUGCGGAGGAACACCGAUGGCGAAGGCAAUCCCCUGGGCCUGCACUGACGCUCAUGCACGAAAGCGUGGGGAGCAAACAGGAUUAGAUACCCUGGUAGUCCACGCCCUAAACGAUGUCAACUGGUUGUUGGGAAGGUUCCUUCUCAGUAACGUAGCUAACGCGUGAAGUUGACCGCCUGGGGAGUACGGCCGCAAGGUUGAAACUUAAAGGAAUUGACGGGGUCAUAGCUGUUU
rnacentral:rRNA from 1 species